rnacentral:rRNA from 1 species
CCCUUAGAUGUUCUGGGCCGCACGCGUGCUACACUGAGUGGAUCAGCGGGUCAGGUUGCGCGAAAGCGUUUCCUAAUCUUUAAAUCCGCUCGUGAUGGGGAUUGACGGUUGCAAUUUUCUGUCAUGAACGAGGAAUACCUUGUAAGCGCGGGUCAUCAUCCCGCGCUGAAUACGUCCCUGCCCUUUGUACACACCGCCCGUCGCUCCAUCCGUGGCAUGCGCCGGUGAAGAGGGGGAGGCAGCGUCGGCCGUGUAACAGCGGAUCGUACGUGGAACCCCUCUGAACCUUCGCACGUAGAGGAAGGAGAAGUCGUAACA